rnacentral:rRNA from 1 species
GAUGAACGCUGGCGGCGUGCCUAAUACAUGCAAGUCGAGCGAACAGACGAGGAGCUUGCUCCUCUGACGUUAGCGGCGGACGGGUGAGUAACACGUGGAUAACCUACCUAUAAAACUGGGAUAACUUCGGGAAACCGGAGCUAAUACCGGAUAAUAUAUUGAACCGCAUGGUUUAAUAGUGAAAGACGGUUUUGCUGUCACUUAUAGAUGGAUCCGCGCCGCAUUAGCUAGUUGGUAAGGUAACGGCUUACCAAGGCAACGAUGCGUAGCCGACCUGAGAGGGUGAUCGGCCACACUGGAACUGAGACACGGUCCAGACUCCUACGGGAGGCAGCAGUAGGGAAUCUUCCGCGAUGGGGGAAAGCCUGACGGAGCAACACCGCGUGAGUGAUGAAGGUCUUCGGAUCGUAAAACUCUGUUAUUAGGGAAGAACAAAUGUGUAAGUAACUAUGCACGUCUUGACGGUACCUAAUCAGAAAGCCACGGCUAACUACGUG